rnacentral:rRNA from 1 species
UGGGGAAUUUUGGACAAUGGGCGAAAGCCUGAUCCAGCAAUGCCGCGUGUGUGAAGAAGGCCUUCGGGUUGUAGAGCACUUUUGUCCGGAAAGAAAUCCUUGGCUCUAAUACAGUCGGGGGAUGACGGUACCGGAAGAAUAAGCACCGGCUAACUACGUGCCAGCAGCCGCGGUAAUACGUAGGGUGCAAGCGUUAAUCGGAAUUACUGGGCGUAAAGCGUGCGCAGGCGGUUUGCUAAGACCGAUGUGAAAUCCCCGGGCUCAACCUGGGAACUGCAUUGGUGACUGGCAGGCUAGAGUAUGGCAGAGGGGGGUAGAAUUCCACGUGUAGCAGUGAAAUGCGUAGAGAUGUGGAGGAAUACCGAUGGCGAAGGCAGCCCCCUGGGCCAAUACUGACGCUCAUGCACGAAAGCGUGGGGAGCAAACAGGAUUAGAUACCCUGGUAGUCCACGCCCUAAACGAUGUCAACUAGUUGUUGGGGAUUCAUUUCCUUAGUAACGUAGCUAACGCGUGAAGUUGACCGCCUGGGGAGUACGGUCGCAAGAUUAAAACUCAAAGGAAUUGACGGGGUCAUAGCUGUUUCCU